rnacentral:tRNA from 1 species
GCCUCUAUAGCUCAGUGGUAGAGCGUUCGACGUAUGAUCGAAAGGUCCAUGGAUCAAACCCGUGUGGAGGCA